UACGGGGGGGGUAAGCGUUGUUCGGAAUUACUGGGCGUAAAGGGCUCGUAGGCGGCCAACUAAGUCAUACGUGAAAUCCCUCAGCUUAACUGGGGAACUGCGUGUGAUACUGGAUGGCUUGGAUUUGGGAGAGGGAUGCGGAAUUCCAGGUGUAGCGGUGAAAUGCGUAGAUAUCAGGAGGAACACCGGUGGCGAAGGCGGGUCUCUGGGCAGUAACUGACGCUGAGGAGCGAAAGCGUGGGGAGCAAACAGG
rnacentral:rRNA from 1 species